UAAAAGCUCAUCCACCAAUGUGACAUCUCUACAAGUUGACAGUAGAACAAGAAGUUGGGUGAUUCAUUUAAUCUCUCAUCUGUGAACAUCAGCAGAACCGUGGUUAUGGCAGGUUGUUUGAAAGUGCUCUGUCUCCUUAGUCAAUUUAAAUACCAGAUUGGCUGCAACUGGCUUCAGCAGAACUGUGUUUGCUAGUCCAGCAUCCAUUCUGUCUGUGCUAUGUUGCAUAGCUUUGAUUCUCUGUGAGUCCUGUGGCCUUCAGUUCAACCCACUCCCUGACCAUCCAAUGGGAAUCAUCACAAUCCUGUACCUCAUUGACUCAGUGAGCUUUCAGCCAUGGCUGAAUGAAACAAAAGAUACACAGCAGGGAUACAUUUGUGCAGGUAAAAAGGGAUGCUGGGGAUGGAGCUGACACAUGGAGAACUAUACAAGACCCCCAAAUUAUAAAUAAAUAGAGUAUAAUCUAUUAAAUAAUGCUUAUUAUUUAUAUAAGUAGUAUGUUACCUGGAUUAUUUAGGCUGGUUUCUUGAUUGUUUUUUAAAUUACUUCCAGCAGAAAGCAUUCUGUUAUAAGAUAAGAAUGCAUGGACCAUUUUUGUCCAUCAUGAGCAUUAUAUGGUAUCUUAUCUUGGGUAAGAAAUUUUUGAUAUUUGUUUUUAAAAUUUUGCAUAUGCUUUUUUCAUCAAUACUUGAAAAGUACUUUUCAGCAGCAGUGUGCAUUUCUAUGAGUUUUGCAUCAAAUGAAAUUGUGAUACAGAAACCCUGGGCAUUCUGACAUAAUCCACUCCAUAGCUGUGCAAAUCUAGGAAGUGAGAUAAGCUAUAUAGAAAGACAGAAAAGCUGAACAGCAAUAAGAAUUUGCAUGGAAAAAAGACAAAUGCAUGGGAAAUUUUUUUUAUUUUUUCUCUUGUUACAAAGUUUAAGAAAAAUAUAGAGAUAAGACCUUAUCCUUGGAAAGAAUAUGCUUAUUUCUUUCUUUAGUCCUAUUGUAUUGUUUUAAAUACCACAGUCAUUAGGCCCUCAGAAGACUUAACCUGUUGAAAUAAGAUGGAAUGAGACGGAAUAUAAUAGCAGGGAAGUAUUUGUCCAGUGAAAGGGGUGCUGGAGAUGAAGCUGACACAUGCAGAACUAUAUAGCACCCACAAAACUGUAAAUAAAUAGAGUAUGGCAUACAUGUCCAAGAGAUAGCAAGGCACUAAGAAGGGUUUUCAGCAAAGUGCUAAGUGGAUCCCAUUCAUAGCUUUGUACUCCAAAUCUUUAGUUUUUCAAACCCACGUAUCAAUAAAGAAUAAAUAUUACUGUUUUUAAUGAUCUAUUAUUCAAGCUAUUUAAAAGACUCUUGUUACAAAGUGACAUUCAUCCCCAGCUUGGCGAUUGAUUAAAGGCAGUCCUCAAAAUUGCCUGGGUAGGUUUGUGUUAGGGGCAGUGUCCACCAGAGAGCUGGUUUUCAGCUUUGAUCUUUGGUCACUAGCUACAUGUAAAGCAGCUUGAGAUGUAAUUCUUUAGCUCAGAGCCAUUCUGUUUCCUAAAGUUUCUGUUCUGAAAUGAACAAAGUGAGAGGGUUCAAUGACCCCCCUCCUGAGUUUCUAGAAUGGGUUUUCAACUGAAGCUCAGCAUGUAUGUAAAUUGGGGAAGGGUGAAAUACCCUCCAGAAAACAUGGGGCAUUUUCAGACUUACUUCUUAACACUUAGCUGCAAAGUGUUGAGUCUGUGGUUGGUGCCCAGCGUGCUACCUCGCUGUCUCGGUCUUCCAUUGUAAAUUGUCCGUCUUUAAUAAGAAGGGUCAUUAAUUUUUAUGGAAAACUGUUUAGCUUUUAAUGAGAAAAAUUGUAUUGAUUGAACAUAUGUCUCUCUGUGUGCCUGUAAAACGAAAGGUGAUAAAACAUAUCAUUGCCAUGAAGACCUUUCAUGAUUGGUUGGGUUACUUGUUGUAUUGAACCAUCAAUUAAUGUUUAUUAAAGUAACUUCCAGAGUGCUAACUAAAUCAUGCACUCCAUCAUAGCUAUUUGCCACCUCUAUAUGUUCAGCCUUGAAAGUAACUGUGCAGAACCAUCUGGAAGCUUGUGCUGAGAUGCUGUUUUAUGCUCCAAGCAUAGACACUGGAAUUAUUACCCUUGACUAAAAAGCUAAAUUGUCUCAUUACAAGAAUUUAUGAAAGUAUGUAGGUUUCUAGUGUUCUCUAAUCUACUCUUUAUUUUGUUUUGUUUUGUUUUUGAGGAUACCCUUUUUUUAAGAUUUAUUUGUUUGUUUGUUUGUUUGUUUAUUUAUUUAGUCAAUGUUCUGCCUGCAUGUAUGCCUGCACUCCAGAAGAAGGCACAAGAUCUCAUCAUAGAUGGUUGUGAGCCACUGUGUGGUUGCUGGGAAUUGAACUCAAUACCUCUGGAAGAGCAGCCAGUGGUCUUAACAUCUGAGCCAACUCUCCAGCCCUAAGGAUACUCUUAACAUAGAACAAACACUUCUUAAGGUGCACUUACCUGAAAAACCAGGUACAUAUAUAUAUUUUUAAAGUAUAUUUAAUGAAAUCACAAGCUUUGGCCUAUAUUUUGGUGAAUGUUCUGAUAAUGUCACAUGUGAUAUGAGAAGUUAACAUUCUAUGAACACUUUUAUUGUUGUCUAAAUUUACUCUAUCAGACAGUCAGAAGCAAGCAGAGUAAGCUGUGUAUACUGUAUCGUGUUACCUACAUUAAGGCUACAUUUACCAUUGUUGUUAGGUAGGACCACAUUCUAUUUCAGUGUGUGUGUGUGUGUGUGUGUGUGUGUGUGUUAUGGCUCAGAAAAGGGCUAAAGAGCUUACCACAGAUAUUAGUAAACCCUGGAAGAACUCACACAGUCUGUGACCUACAUUUGGCAAAUUAGAAAGCAUGCAAGUUUUUCUCUCUGUGUUUUCAGACUGCUUUGUUUUCCCAAUUUGUAAUGUUCUGCUAUUUAGACAUUAUGGUACCUUCAUGGUUGUGAUCUAAUUAGGAUUCCUCCUAAAAGAACCCACCCUUUCCCCUCUUUCUACUGUGGUUAAUGUUCCAUUAUAGGUGUUUGUGCUGCUGUUCUCCCAAUAUUUAAGCAAAUCAUUCUUUCAGUACCUUGUGGAGGGGGAAAUGCAAAAGCUCAUGGAUCAAAAUGCACCAUAAAUUUGUUUCCAAUUUACAUCUUCCCAUUGCUGCUGACAAUGGAUAUGUUGUUGUGUCCUUAUUGCUUACUUCAUUAGUGUUCCUUCGUGCGACUUUUCUAUAAACAUAUUCCAGAGCAAAGAGUCUGUGGCCAUUAAGGCUGCAAUGCCCUAAGCUCACUGAGCCUGUUGAUAGUCAUCCCUGUCUUUCUUAUAAUGCCCUGUUCCAGCCUUCAUACUUUACAUACUUCAUACUUCACAAAUUUCUGGUAAUGCUUUAUGACUGAUGAUUCAGAGUAACCAAAUAGAAGAAGCCACAACUGUCAAUCGCAUAGAAUAAUCUGCAAGGUCAAGUUUCCAUUCAAUGUUCAGUGAGCUGUGGAAAUCAUCCAACCUUUGGAGUAUAUUGAUAAGAUGGUAUAGAUAUCAACCACGUGAAAGUAUUCAUUUCUGCCACACUCCUUCUGCUGCAUUACAUGUAUGGGAUUAUAUAGCUGUCAUGUUUAAUGUGUUUGAGCUGUCCCCUCAGUGAGUCAUGUUAUAUAUAGUCUGGGCAUGCCUUACAGGGAAAAAGAGUACCCAUAAGUUAGUAUGCAAUCAGAACCUGUGUUGACUGAAGGAUGGGAACAGUUUUUCCCUCAGAUGAUUUGCCUUGGAUGAUUUGGCUAUGACUACUUGUAAUAAGAAACAAGGGUCCUGGCCAUAGAGCUUAAGAAAAUUCUUACCCUUGUAUCAUUGUAUAGUGCAAUUAUAUAAAACACAAUUUUAAGGAAAAGAAUGAAUCAAAAUCGUUUUGUGCUAGACUUUUCAGCAUUGCGGCAAAUACUUGACAUAAAAGUGUAAAAUGAGGGUGGACUUAUUUUGGCCUAUGAUUUUAGAGGUUAAACAUCAUUGUUGCCUGGUUGACAUUUCUGGGCUGGUGUGAAGCAGAAUAUAACAGUUCAAUAUAGGGGGAAAGAAUGUCUUACUUCAUGGUGGCUGGGAUGCAGAAAGACAGUAUGUACUGGUGACAAGAUACUCUUCAAAGGCGCACACUGGUGACCUAGUUUCUCCAGCUAGGUUCUACCAACUACAGUCUCCAGCAUCUCAUGUAUAGUACUAUUAGUACUGAACAGCGCCUUAAAGACCUGAGUCUGUGGAGGCAGCUGCUGGUGAUUGGCUGUCUGCUGUCCCUCACUUUCUGGGUCUUUGUGACUGCUGCUCCAUCCAUCAGCCUGUGAAUAAGCUUUCCCUGUCUUUGGUUAGCUUCCACUGAGCUCAAGCAUGACUUCCUCUGUAAAGUUUCUUCUGUUAUUUAAUCCUUCUUUCUCCUUCAGUUAAUUGUUGGAUAUACUGUUUAUCAUCCUGGACUAUAUUCUAAUAUUUUGUCCUUUGUUUCCUCUCAUGAUGAUGAGCAAUUUAAAUGUAGGAAAUACUUUAUCAUUGUGUCUAAGAACACUAGAUUCCUAUAACACUGGGUUGUCAUUUAAAAUAUGUUUUCACAUUUCACUGAUGGACAGAAACAAAUAGAUUAUGUUCUAUGCAUGCAUAGAAUGUGUAAUGAUCAGGUCAGAGUAACUGUCAUACAUGUGACCUCAGACUUCACCAUUUAUAUAUGCUGAGAAUAUUCUGUAUCCUAUAAAAUUCUUUGUUCUUCAUUAUCCUGUAAAAUAUUUACAUAGUGUAAAAUAUUCUACUGUACUUUAAAAUAUUUAGAAUUUAUUUCUAAAUUGAUUUAUUUUUACUGUCCAUCUCUACUAAUGAUAACAGAUUUUUGGUAGGAAAUUAUUUAAAGGAAUAAAUGAGAGAAAACUUCGAGAACAGGAUUUCAGAUGUUAAGCCAUCUUUAGAAUUAACAGAGCAGAGACAUGUUAAUAAAAAUGACAGUACAGUGUGGAAUUAUGAUAGCUCCUGUCUAAAAAAUUAUGAUCUAAUUUUUUCACAGAACUUAAAAAAAAACUUUAACCAACUAAAUGCAUGUUGUCACAAUCACUCACUAGCUGUUCUUUGAAUUCACAAGACAAGUAGCACUUUGCUUAAAUUGAACAGGGAUUCAAACAAUCUUAGACUAUGAAAUGUCUUCAUAACAGUAAACCAAUUAUUAGGAAAUAACAAGUGCACCUUUUCAUCUUUUAAUCAAUGCACAAAUAUCCAUUAUUACUCAUGAAUGACGAUUGAGAUGCUGGACUGCAAACGAUUUAUGAUGUAGUCCUGAGAAAUUGUUGGAUGGCUAGGGUGGUAAUUUACCUUUCAUUUCUGUUUUAGAUUUCUAAGGCAGUUAUUCCAGGCUAAAAUUUUUGUGAUAUUCUUUAUUUGAAUAGCCUGCACGACAAAAUAAAUAGUUUGUAGAAGUUA